UUAGGAUGACUCUUAAUAGCUAUGCUGCAUCGGCUCCCACAGUUACCUUCUAAUAGGAAGGCAGUCCUUCCUUGGUCAUUUUAUCUGAGCAUUUAUUGCAGGUAGACUCAGUGGGGCAGAAAAGUUUUCUUAAAUCAUACUAAGGAAAGUAGGAAGAGAAUUGCUGUAUGUUGGGGCUAGAUCUUUAUCGUGAGACAACACCUUCUGUGAACAGGAAUUUCUGCUUCCUGUUUAAUAAGAAACUGUUUAAAAUGCAGCCCCUAUUUGUUACAGGCAUUAUCUUGUUACUUCAAGACAUUUUGCAUUGUUGGGACACACUACUUUAUCAUCUGUGUUUUCAAGCUGUGAUUGCAGAAGGAAGGCAGCAGGAAAAUGGUUCUAUUUAACUGACAAAGGCAAUUAGUCAGCAGGGAUAUAAUUUUGCCCAGGAAUCUUUUUUCUUUUUUUUUUGAAUGGGACAUAUUUACCUCUAUAUACCUCAAUGCAGGGUUGUAAUUGCUAAGUAUCAGCAUCCAGCUGACUAGUUCCAAAGCAGAGCUAAGAGAAUAAUUUGGCUGGAAAUGCUAAUAGUGAAACAUGCCGCGCUGAUUUUGUACAGGUAGUUGAACAGUUAUUUGACUUCCUUUCCCCAUUGGUGGCACUUCAUUAACGUUAUUGUGUAAUUAUAAUCGCACUGUGUUGCAGAAUGUAAGUGGCAGCCCAUUUGCAAAUGGAUUAACCUCAGAAAUCUGUCUGCUUGAUAAGAGGCAUCUCUUUGAUCUUAACAAAAUUAAUGGUUGACCCUUAAUUAUUUAGCUUUCCUUGCAUAUCAUGUUAGUCUCUUUGUAUCAGUGAGGUAUCAGCACAAGAGUCUGACAACACACUGAGGACAUGUGAUAAAUAGAGAAUUUAAUGGGCUCUUGCAGAACACACAUAGAAGACAUGCACUUGUCCAGCUGGAGAGCCUCUUUGGUCUAUUUGCCCAACAGUUAUCACUGCUGCUAACAAAUGGAGAUACAAGAAUUUAGUCUUUCCUCUAACACGGCGGGGUUUGAACCUGAAUUUUUAGGUUUCAAAGGUGCUAUCAAUAAGGCAAUAGAGUAGGCUUUUCCCUCUUUGGGAAGCUGUUCCAUUGCGCUUGGAAUAAUUAAAUGUUCUUGCUGUGAGAAAGGAAGCUAGAGAAAAGAGAUGACUUGGUACUCUUGUGGUAAAAAAAUUCUUCCAAAGGAAGAAUUCUAUCCAAAGGAAAGGACAUCCAAGUCCAGUUAAUAUUUAAUAUAAGAUACUUGGGUUUUGAAGGAGCCUAAUGUGUCACUCCAAAGUGAACAGGCUGUAAUGUUACUGGCACCCUGACACUGCAAGGAGGAACAUCUUCAACAAGAAAGAUUUAGAGAAUUCUACCUUUUAAAUACCUUCCAUCCUGUUGAGUAGAAAAAAACUUUGAAGAAGAAAAAUUUCAAGUUGUCAGAGGAAGAGGGCAACUGAACCUGAAGUCUUCCACAUCAGUGGUCUGAGCACUGAGAUUUUACAUACAAGACCUGCAAAUUUAGCUGAUACUUUUUAGUACAGGACUAACAUUGAUUUCUGUAAUCUGAAAGGAUUCAUAAAUAGAAGUUCCAGGUGAACCUAUAUUAUUUUUCCUGCAUAGAUUUAGGCUUCAAAAUCCCUAAUAGGGGGCAAUCUGCUUGGUGUUUACUGCUUAUUGAAAUGGUCCUGUGGACUUACCCUAUUUUUUUAACUCUGCAUCACAGCCCUGGACAAGUACUCUGCUCUACCUCAGUGUUCUAGACGUCAGUAGGUGCCAAGAUAGGCGCUUAUAAUGCAGUAUUUGAAACCCUGUGUGCCUUACUCCAGAACUUACUUUAGGCACUGUAAAAUAUGGCUAUCUCUUAGAAUAAGCUUGUUACUGGACUAUCCCUUUUUAGUGAAGCCAGAGCUCUGGAAAGCAAGACUGAUUGCUUCUGCUGCUGAGGAAGGAAGAAAUCAAGGUUAUGUCAAAUACGAAUCGCUGCUGAAAUCAGGACUGUCACCUCUCAGCUGCAGCCGUCUCCUGCCCAUUGCAUGCCCUCAUAUGAGUGCUCAGAUCUCCACAAAUCUCCCUUAACAUUUCCUUCCAGCUCAUCUCCUUCCUCUACUAGUUCUCUUCCUUCUAUUAAGAUGAUCAGUGUCCCUGACUUGGGCUGCCAGGACAGUCCAUAUCAAAUCUUCACAAUACUGCUGUGCUGAACCCAUCUCCAGAAACUCAACUUUGUUGAACAAAAAUUUAUCCAAAUGACCUGAAUCCUUCCCUGCAGGUAGCAAACUGCAUUACUAGCUAUUUAGCAUCACUUAUGAAACAGUGUUAAUCCAUGUAUUACUGAAUUUCUGGUCAUGGGACAGAUAACUUUGCUGUAGCCUAGUGACGAUAUUCCAAAGCCUGACUCUUGUCUCCAUGGAAAGAGCCUGUCACUAAUGACCAUUCAGGUUGUAGGCCAUAGGUUGUUUGGGCCUUCCAUAGGAGGGACAGGGGAAUUUUGGAGAAUGAUGCAUUUUCUGGUUUUCUGUGUCUGGCUGAGGAUGCCAGAGGAUAUGUGUCUGAACGGACUUCCUCUCCAAGGGAAAAUUGCUCAAGCUGAAAUACACCUAUAAAGGACUAGGAUGCAAAGCGGGAUCCCUCAACCAGAGUGGCUGGCAAGUUGCACUAAAGGUCACCAUAGCCUGUGGUUAUUUCCUGAAGAGCUGUCAUGCCUAAAAUAAUGAUCAGGAAAUGCUACUAAAACAGAAUGACAGGGAAACUUGUUAUUUCUGCCUUACAUCCCACCCAUUCUUCCCAGAGCAAUGAGAAGAUUCAGCUGGGAAUACUAAAAAGGAGAUGCUGACAACAGGGGCAUUUCUCUGGCAAUUCCUUAAAUUUUGUGGCAAGUGCACAACUGUUAUCACGUAGAGAAUGCCUUGGAGAGAACCGAUGCAUUUGAAGUCAACAGCUCUGAGAAGGCCCUCAAAAUAUGAAGAGCAUGAAUCAAGCUUAUUGCACUCAAAGAAAAGUUGCUCUUACACUUCGGUGAGUUUGGAUUAGACCAUGAGAUGCUAGCAACUGAUGCAGAACUGAGGCAGGAAGUGUUAAAAACUAAUAAUUGAGAAGGACACUUUGCAAAGCUCAGGAUGCAUUUUCUAGCGUGAAAAAAAUGCCAUCCAUCAGCUGGAAAUCAUUCUUUUUUCUCAUCCAUAAUCUGAAUGAGGGGGAAAAAUCAAACAGGACUUGCAAAGCAUUCAGCAUUAGCAGGACAGCUGGCGAGGAAUUCCUAGUUGAAAAUUUAUGUUUGAAAAUGACAAAGCAACUGAAAACUGGAUAUUUUCUAGUGAAAAGCCCCCUUAGUCCUUGUAUAGGAAUUGCUGAAUCAAGUCCUGAAUCUCUGAUUGACCACCUGAGGCAAGCAAUGAGUCAGCCCUGAGAGCACAGGUGAAGGCUGUGCUAUUGCACAGCUGUGCUAAUGGAAGGGGUGGAGCCUGGCUGCACCUCUCCUAAACCCACUUAAGGGCUGACUACCACGUGGAAAGGCUUUCUUUUGGAGACUGCUUCUUUUGGAGUCUUCUCAGCAAGCCCAGGACAAAGGUUUGCCUGCUCAGACUACUUCUGACUGGGGAGAAGUAUUAUUGAGGACCGACUCCAUUUCUCCAUUUCAGAAAUCUUUCAGCUUUGUAUCUUUGAAGUGGUCCUUUCCUGAGAUGGCAGAAGGACAUCCAGUCACUGAAAGGAGCUGAGGGCAAAUACCAUGGCUGGAAGUCUGCCGCUGCUGUUGCAGAGCACUGCCAAAGGGAGACUGAACGGAAAAGCAAUCAGAACCUACCAAUAGGCAUCACUUCCUUGAUGCAGCCAAACUGUUCAUGAAUGAGAAGUGAUGCUCAAACCAAUAUUGACUUCUGUGGCUUUGUGCUUGUGUUGCUGAGAAUGAAAUGCUGUAUCACCCUUUCUGAUGGUCUAUGGCAAACACAGAGAGCUAUGAGAAAACAGGACUUCCUCCACAUUGUUCUAUUAGGUCUACAGACUGAAAUGUGGGGAUCAGAGAGAAUUCAGAUGGUCAUAGCGGUGUCUGGAUGUGACACUACUCCUGCGAAGCCUGGAACACUAAAACACUCUCCUCUGGGGCUUCUGUUGGCCAUAUUGCUCUCUGCUUCCUGUCUCUAAGUAGCUGGCAACCUGACUGCAGCCCACCAUUUAUUCCCACUAGCAGAUAUUCCUCUAUGCUAAUUUUACAGCACAGCAGGAAGCUACUGGUAUGAAGUACUCAGUGAAAUGCCUUUAUCCACAUGGAAUGUGCCACUCAUUUCCAUUUGUGAUGGAUCAGAAAUACAGAUGCUGAAGGCUUAGCAAUUAUGCUAAACUUUGAGCACCCUAGCUACAGUUUGCUCCAGUAUUCUUUCAGAGGAGGAGGAGAUUAAUAGCUUUGAUGGAAUUUUAUCAUUACCUUUAAAAUAUAAUUAUUUCCAUUCAUUUCUCCAAAGACCCUUAUUAUGGUUACUUAAUCAAAUUAUUACAAGUUGAGCACAUUAGAACAAAGGUUCUGCUCACUCUGGUUUUUUUUGCAGUCUUGGGAAGUGAGAUUUUUUUAUUCAAGGCACAGUAUUACCUUCAGUGAACAUGGCAGUCAGUGUUCAAUGAGUGGCCAGCUCUAUUCAACACUUUUGGUCUGUAUGCGUUUGCUUACAUCACCUCUGGAGUAUCAUAUUUGCACUAUUUCCAAACAGCAGAUGAUUAGUAACGUCACAGGCUUACCUGUGGGCUCACUAUUUUUGUCUCUUUACGCCUUGUGAAAUGAACACAUUUGCCAAAACUCAAAUAGCAUGGACCCCAUUUGAUGAAUCAACGGUAAAAUCAUCAGAGGCAUCACUGAUGGGCAUAUUUGGCCUAAAUAAUUGCAAACUGUUAAAACUGGGCUUUAGAAUGGGAAAAUACUGAAUCAUGUUCAGCAGAUUCCUACUGCAUGUAAACUUAAUAGACGACAAAGUCAUGAAAUACUUAUAGGAAGAAAGCACACGUGCACGUGCAUGUGUUUUAUAUUCUGUUUAUUAAAGCAUUUAUUCAUUUUCUCAUAGUCAGUAAAAUCUAGUAUUGUUUUGCAAAUGAAAAAGCCAAAACUGUCAAAAGAAACCACGUUUCGCUGGAAGAAAAUGAAGAAAUUUCAUGUCAGGACACUUGAGUAGCUCUUAGACUUACAAAUGAGGUUCUGUCACACUCAUUUUCUUCACAUACCAACUAAUACAUCCAGACUCCCAGUACUAAAAGGACACACUGUUUUGAGAAGCAGGCCAUAUUUAAUAACACCUUGCUAGAAAUACUCUACGACUGGGUCAGCUCUCAUUUGAAUAUCUAAACCAGUGGCUAGGCUUUUCAGAACAGGCAUGGAAAAUUCAAUCUUGAACUGUUCUGAUAAUCUGACCCUGAAUAUUACCCAAAGGACACACGACAUCACUUUCAUAAAUCUAAGCUUUUUUUGGAGGAAGCCUUAAUGGGAUCAGAACACUUUAACUCAGGUGAAUGGAAGAAUUUGAAGGCAGAGAGAAACAGAUGAGACAGAAGGGGCAGAAUUUGAUUUCAAGGCUUUAUGCCUGUCUCUCCAAUAAAAGCAGUUUAGAAAGUACACUGCCUUUCAGGAGAGUGGCAUUUAUCUCAAGGAAUGCAAAUGAGAAUUAUAUUAGUCACAAGCUUGCAAAAAGGGCACCUUUAUCAUCCUCUUGGCCAGCACAGCUAUGGCCACAACACUGCUGGCUGGUGCUUUUUGCCUGUUGUUUAAAGACUCAGCAGAAGAUUAAUAGCUAGUGAGUGAGAAUGAUCUCUGCAGCCUAAAGAAAUCUGAAAGGAAACCACAAAUGCUGGUAACAGCAUGACAUUAUGCUGAGUGUAUAAAGAUAUCUAUAUUAGGCACUUAGGCUAAAUUUAAAAAGAAAAAAAAAAAAAAGAAAGGGUAAAAAUAUUCAGGUCUCUAUCAGAAAGAAGGGCAAAGGCAUGGACUGUCAUCUCCAGCUAAUCAGCUAAUCCAACUGCAACCCAAUGAAUAUUUGUUGUUGUUCCAGCUGAGACGAAUAUGCCAGUCAGAAAUGGUUUUGAUUUAAAGCUUGCAUAAAUAAACACAUUUAAAAUUACAUAUUUUCCACAGAACUUCAACUUCUGCUGUGGGAGGCUGAUAAAAAUAAUGAGUGCGUUGCCCCUUUCUCCCAAAGCACAUUUGGAAUUGUCACUGGAAAGCUGUCUCUGUGCCAGAAUUUCUGGGAAAUGGAGGAUUUUAGGCAAGCUGGGCCAAUACUAUAACAGUGAGAGGUUUGGGAUGUCACCUUAGAAGGAGAAAGAGAAGUCCCUGUAAUGGCACUGGUGCGUUUGUAUCCAUCUCAGCCUUGGUCCAACCUCCCCUCCUGCUCUCUAAUUCAUUUUUUCAGUUAAUUGUUUUUGCAUAACAGCUCUGUUGCUGUAAGGAUGGAGAUUAUCUUUAAAAAUUCAUCUUUGGCUACUUCCUGUCCUCUGAGCUGGCUGCUGCUCACCUUCCUCCUUUGCACGGCCUCAGAGUCUGAGAG